UUCAAAUCAAUCAGUUCAAAUAUGAGUAUAAACCCCAAAACCUAAACCUAAACCCAAAAAAAAAGGUGCAAAGGAGAAAAGGGGCAAAGUGUAGAAAUCCAAAUCAACACUUCGCCGUCUUCCCUUCCAUUUCAAGCAAAUGUUUUUUUUUCCUGGAAUCAUUCGUAUGUUUUCUGUGCUGGCGACGGCAUAAUUCACUGAAUAAUAUCUCAGCUCUGAAACCUAAUUAUUCCGAAAUCCACCGUCCCGCCGAAGUCCGAGUUUCAAAAUGUCGCCACCGGUGAUCGCGCAGCAGCCUGCUUUCGGAUUCGCUCAACCUGAUUCAGCUCAGAGCUCAGAGUCUGGGGGGAACUUUAAUUUCUCUUCUGCUUCGACUGAUGCUGCUCGAUUUGAUUACUCGAAAACCGGUCCCGAUAAACCGCUCAUUUCGGGCCGAUCCAGUCCGAGAUUAAUGAAGAUGAGGAGGCGGAAAAUGCCAGAUGGUGUAAAAACUGAUCUGGGAUUGAAUGGGUUUAGUGGUAGUGGUGGUGAGAAAGAUUUUGAAGGGAAAUUGGGGGGUUCUUUCGGGAUUAAUAAUGAGAGUUUGGGAUCGAAUGGAGGUGAGGAAAAGAGUCGUGGUUUGAAUGAAAACGUGGAUAGAUUUGGGAACGGAUUUGGUUUUGAUGUAGACCUGAAUAAUUCUUUUUCUGGAUUUGGAUCAGGAAAAUUUACGCCCUUGGUUGAUGCCACCAAGGAUACCAUGCCGAGCAAUCGGCAGUUAAGAAAGAGCGAUCUUUCAUCUGGUUUUGAUAUAGGUAGCUCAAAUUUUGGGCAAAAGGAAUGUGGGAGUUUUGUUUUUGGAGCUUGUAAGGAGGCCCCUGUAUCAAAUCCGGAUUUGUGUGGGCAGUUUGUCUUUGGUGUUGGUGACAGUGCGUGUAGUCGUGAUUCGAGUUUCAAUAUGAAGGAUGCGAGUGACUCAGCUUCACAAGUCAAGUUAGAGCAACAGGGUUCACAUAAUAAGUCCAGUUUGAGUUCGAAUGCUGAUGAGUUUGUGAAGUUUAAUGCUGUCAAAUUUGAAAUUGGACGUGCUAGUAGAACUGAUAAAGUUGUAGGAAGCACGAUCCAUGACAUAAGGGGUAAAGUUAAAUUGGAUAGUUCUGGGGCUUCUGAAAAGGUUAGCAACGACCCUGUCUUGAAGUUUCCAUUCAAUGUGAGUGAUGGAAGUAGCAACGAUCGUGAGAAUUUUGUGUUUACAGAAAACACUGACUUCAAGUUCAACAUAGGAUUGGGAAAUAAAUCCUCUGGUGGAAAAGUGGAUAUGCCUAAUUUUCCAAAGAGUGGGAAAGAAAAUGCAGAGGUUGGAUCUCAGUCUCACGUGAAUGGUGUUUUCAUUUUUGGAGGACUGAAAGGCAAACAAGGCAUUCAUUCUGGUGGAAGUACUAAGCCUGUUAGUGAGAUGAAUGAAUUGAAUAUGGGAAAGGCUGAAGAAAGUAAUAUCAAGUUUCAAACUAGUGGUAAAUCAGGUGGUUCUUUUGAGCAAGGUCCUACAUAUGGCAUAUUGAAUGAGAUGAAGAAACUGAACAUUGGUGAUCCUAAAGUGGAUACUACAGGGUCUGGAAGUUUUAGUUGUAAUUCUGCAUCAGGGGCUGAUAAUUUAUUUGUGUUUGGAGGCAACCAGCAGGACUCUGGUUUUGUAUAUGAGAAUCGUCCUAGUAUGAACCGGAACACUCCAAAUUUGAGUCGCUUCUCCCAGAGUAACUCUAAGUCGACUAGGACUUACUCAACUUCCGUUGGAAUGGGCUUCAAUCUGAACAAUGGUUUCCAAGAGGUGCCAUCUAUUGAUAAAGAUAAGAAUGACAACAUUAGAGACAAACUGGCUGGAUUAGGCUCAGAUGCAGAUUGCAUCACACCAGAUAUGAAAUUUGCAUUUUCGAGCAACAAUUUGUUCCCAGGUGUAGAUAAGUUAGGUAACACAAAAUUUAGAUCAGUCAAAGGCAAAACAUCAAAGAGAAAUGGAAAGCUAGGACAAAGAACCUUUGUCCAGCAGUUGUUUCCACAGAGUCAGAUGUUUAAGGAAGGCAGUUCCCUGCAAAAUCAUACAUCUCCUGGUUGUGGUUCACCCAUGGAUUUUUCACCAUAUCAAGAUACAAGUGCCAGCAAUGCACCAGAGGCAGAUACUGCAUCGGGAUUAAAAGUAGAUUCUGCUGCAAACCAGAAGAAUAUUUCAGAUGACUGGGAAAAUCCUGAAGAUGAUAAGAGCAAUUCAGUUUGCUCUCCUUCAUUGCCUGCAGAAGAUGGCCUGUCAGCAAUAAAACGCAAAUACAAGAAAAAAUAUAGAUUGAAAGUUGGUUUGAAUCCCACUGUCCAAGGAAACAAUUCUAGAAAAGAAAAUGUUAGGCUGGAACCCAGUGGGCCUUCUAAUGAACUAUGUGAGCAUUGGCGAAUGAGGGGGACCACUUUUACUCUGCUAUAGCAACCGUGCAGCCACACGAAUGUCACUUUCAAGGAUGAGGGAAGCCAUAGCAGAUUGUACAAAAGCAUCUGAGCUAGACCCAGACUUUAUUAAAGUUAUAUUAAGAGCUGGAAAUUGCUAUUUGGUAUUGGGAGAAGUUGAAGAUGCCAUCCAGUGUUACAGAAAAUGCUUAGGAGCUGAGAACAGCAUUUGCUUGGAUAGGAGAUUUACAAUUGAAGCUGCUAGUAGCCUGCAAAAGGCAGAG